rnacentral:rRNA from 1 species
UACGGAGGGUCCAAGCGUUAUCCGGAUUUACUGGGUUUAAAGGGUGCGUAGGCGGGCUUUUAAGUCAGCGGUGAAAUCUCCGGGCUCAACCCGGAAAUUGCCGUUGAUACUAUUAGUCUUGAAUUAAGUUGAGGUGGGCGGAAUAAGUCAUGUAGCGGUGAAAUGCUUAGAUAUGACUUAGAACACCGAUUGCGAAGGCAGCUCGCUAAACUUAUAUUGACGCUGAGGCACGAAAGCGUGGGGAUCAAACAGG